rnacentral:rRNA from 1 species
GCGGCGCGCUUACACAUGCAAGUCGAACGAGAAAGUGGAGCAAUCCAUGAGUACAGUGGCGUACGGGUGAGUAACACGUGGGGAUCUACCUUAGGGUGGGGGAUAACUCUGGGAAACCGGAGCUAAUACCGCAUAAGCAGGGAACUGGAAAGCCGCAAGGCGCCGGAAGAGGAGCCCGCGGCCGAUUAGCUAGUUGGUGAGGUAACGGCUCACCAAGGCGAAGAUCGGUAGCCGGCCUGAGAGGGCACACGGCCACACUGGCACUGAAACACGGGCCAGACUCCUACGGGAGGCAGCAGUGGGGAAUCUUGCACAAUGGGGGCAACCCUGAUGCAGCGACGCCGCGUGAGCGAUGAAGCCCUUCGGGGUGUAAAGCUCUUUCGGCCGGAACGAUAAUGACGGUACCGGAGGAAGAAGCUGCGGCUAACUACGUGCCAGCAGCCGCGGUAAUACGUAGGCAGCAAGCGUUGUUCGGAGUUACUGGGCGUAAAGAGUGCGUAGGCGGUGACCUAAGUUCGUUGUGAAAUCUCCCGGCUUAACUGGGAGGGUGCGGCGAAAACUGCGAUGCUGGAGU